rnacentral:rRNA from 1 species
UACUAGAGUAGCACUCGCAUAUCAAUAAGCGGAGGAAAAGAAACUAACAAGGAUUCCCCUAGUAACGGCGAGUGAAGCGGGAAGAGCUCAAAUUUGAAAUCUUAAAGGGUUUCCCUUUACGAAUUGUAGUUUAAAGAAGUGGUUUCUGUUGAGGUUUUGGUAAAAGUUCUUUGGAAUAGGACAUCAUAGAGGGUGAGAAUCCCGUAUUUGACCUUUACUUUCAACUUUGUGAUACACUUUCAAAGAGUCGGAUUGUUUGGGAAUGCAGUCCAAAAUGGGUGGUAAAUUUCAUCUAAAGCUAAAUAUUGGCGAGAGACCGAUAGCGAACAAGUACCGUGAGGGAAAGAUGAAAAGAACUUUGAAAAGAGAGUUAAACAGUACGUGAAAUUGUCAAAAGGGAAGCGUUUGACACCAGUGUUGUUUUUCUGAAAAUCAAUUAAAGAACUGUUUAUGCUAAGUUGUUUAGACUUUAUCAGCUAAUCUGUUUAGUUUUGAGCUUUUCUUUAAUGCACUUUUCAGUUAGCAAGUCAACAUCAAUUUCUUUUGCUGUAAAAAAGCUUGAGGAAGGUGGCUUGAGAUUCGUCUUAAGUGUUUAUAGCCUCUUGCCUAUGCAGUCGGAGAGAUUGAGGUCUGCAGCGUAGAUCCUUCGGGGCUAAAUGCAUUUGUGCUAAGUUAUAGCAUUUUAUAGACAACUUGUUGACUAUGAUUUGUCUUGUAGCUUACUCGCUUAUGUUAUUUUACCUACGCUUAGGAUGUUGAGCGCAUGUCUCUCUCU